AAAGAACGCAAAAAAAAAAGAAUAAAAAAUGAAAUGAAAGAGAACAUACGUGAUCAUUUUUA
rnacentral:ribozyme from 12 species